GCCCGCUCAGAAACUCAAAGGAAUUCGACGGGGCCCGCACAAGCGGAGGAGCAUGUGGUUUAAUUCGAUGAUACGCGAGGAACCUUACCUGGGCUCGAACGUAAGAUGACUGUAGGUGAAAGCUUACAUCUCUUCGGAGCAUUUUACGAGGUGCUGCAUGGUUGUCGUCAGCUCGUGCCGUGAGGUGUCGGGUUAAGUCCCAUAACGAGCGCAACCCCUACCUUUAGUUGCCAUCAGGUUAAGCUGGGGACUCUAAAGGAACUGCCUACGCAAGUAGUGAGGAAGGCGGGGAUGACGUCAAAUCAGCACGGCCCUUACGUCCAGGGCUACGCACGUGCUACAAUGGCCGAUACAGAGGGCAGCUACCUGGUGACAGGAUGCAAAUCUCCAAAGUCGGUCUCAGUUCGGAUCGGAGUCUGCAACCCGACUCCGUGAAGUUGGAUUCGCUAGUAAUCGCGCAUCAGCCAUGGCGCGGUGAAUACGUUCCCGGGCCUU
rnacentral:rRNA from 1 species